rnacentral:rRNA from 1 species
UACGUAGGCAGCGAGCGUUGUUCGGAGUUACUGGGCGUAAAGGGUGUGUAGGCGGUUGUUUAAGUUUGGUGUGAAAUCUCCCGGCUCAACUGGGAGGGUGCGCCGAAUACUGAAUGACUUCGAGUGCGGGAGAGGUGAGUGGAAUUCCUGGUGUAGCGGUGAAAUGCGUAGAUAUCAGGAGGAACACCGGUGGUGUAGACGGCUCACUGGACCGUAACUGACGCUGAGACACGAAAGCGUGGGUAGCAAACAGG